AACGAACGCUGGCGGCGUGCCUAACACAUGCAAGUCGAGCGGGAAAGUUCCCUUCGGGGAGCGAGUACAGCGGCGAACGGGUGAGUAACACGUAGGUAACCUACCCUGGAGACUGGGAUAACCUGCCGAAAGGCGGGCUAAUACCAGAUAAGACCACGAGGGCUGCGGCCCCUGUGGUAAAAGAUGGCCUAUGCUUGCAAGCUAUCACUCCGGGAUGGGCCUGCGCGCCAUUAGCAGUUGGUGAGGUGACGGCUCACCAAGGCUGAGAUGGCUAGCUGGUCUGAGAGGAUGGCCAGCCACACUGGGACUGAGACACGGCCCAGACUCCUACGGGAGGCAGCAGUGGGGAAUAUUGCGCAAUGGGCGAAAGCCUGACGCAAGCGACGCCGCGUGGGUGAUGAAGGCC
rnacentral:rRNA from 1 species